rnacentral:tRNA from 1 species
CGGGGAGUAGCUCAGCUUGGCUAGAGCGCUUGGUUCGGGACCAAGAGGCCGCAGGUUCAAAUCCUGUCUCCCCGACCA